UUAAGAAUCUUGCACAAUGGGCGCAAGCCUGAUGCAGCGACGCCGCGUGGAUGAUGAAGGCCUUCGGGUUGUAAAGUCCGGUAAGCAGGGAAGAAUAAGUCCGGGGUAAUAUUCCGGAUGAUGACGGUACCUGCCUAAAGCCCCGGCUAACUACGUGCCAGCAGCCGCGGUAAUACGUAUGGGGCAAGCGUUGUUCGGAAUUAUUGGGCGUAAAGGGCGCCUAGGCGGGGGAUUAAGUUAGUUGUGAAAGCUAUGGGCUCAACCCAUAAAUUGCAAUUAAGACUGGUUCUCUUGAGUGCGGGAGAGGAGAGCGGAAUUCCAGGUGUAGCAGUGAAAUGCGUAGAUAUCUGGAAGAACACCAGUGGCGAAGGCGGCUCUCUGGCCUAGGACUGACGCUGAAGCGCGAAAGCGUGGGGAGCGAACA
rnacentral:rRNA from 1 species